GGUUAAUUCCCAUCAGAUAACAUCCACCACAGAAAAGGUACCAACCAAGCAGAUGGAAUGACUUAGCCAAAUAAUGUUAACCAGGCUUUGUUGCUGGCACCCCAAUGCUGGCAAAGUGAUCAAUGAACGGAGGAGCCAUGGUGGAGCAAAUGCAAGGGUUCAACGUCAUGGACUCAUCAAGUCUGAUCUAACUACUGCAUCAGUGAAUGUCCAGCUUGCCAGCAACAGAGACCAACACUUAGCCUGAUGUCACCAUUCCUCAAGGAAACCGUCUAGCCACUUGGUGCAGCAAACCUCUGUGACUCAAGGAAAUCUCAGUUGGAUGUCCUGUCUCAUCUACUCAAGACCAGUAAGCAACACUUACUUAAAAAGAACAUAUUCUCUUUAUUUCUGCUUGGGAUACAAAUGUUCAGUUUGGAUGAUGAGAAUGAGGCAAGUACUGGAGACAAUGGCUGGCUCUCCUGUUUGUCCCAAUAAACUCCAAUGGAGGAAGAAGCUAAACAGGUUUUGGAUGGUUUCGGUCUACUGCAUCUAGCUUAUCAAAUCUACAGCCUGGUACUUCUGGAACAGGACUUCCCUGCCCCAGUGAUGACAGUUAAAGAUGGCAAAAAUGAAGAAUUCAACAUGUA
rnacentral:lncRNA from 10 species